AUUGAACGCUGGCGGCAGGCCUAACACAUGCAAGUCGAGCGGAUGAGUGGAGCUUGCUCCAUGAUUCAGCGGCGGACGGGUGAGUAAUGCCUAGGAAUCUGCCUGGUAGUGGGGGACAACGUUUCGAAAGGAACGCUAAUACCGCAUACGUCCUACGGGAGAAAGUGGGGGAUCUUCGGACCUCACGCUAUCAGAUGAGCCUAGGUCGGAUUAGCUAGUUGGUGAGGUAAAGGCUCACCAAGGCGACGAUCCGUAACUGGUCUGAGAGGAUGAUCAGUCACACUGGAACUGAGACACGGUCCGGACUCCUGCGGGAGGCAGCAGUGGGGAAUAUUGGACAAUGGGCGAAAGCCUGAUCCAGCCAUGCCGCGUGUGUGAAGAAGGUCUUCGGAUUGUAAAGCACUUUAAGUUGGGAGGAAGGGCAGUAAAUUAAUACCUUGCUGUUUUGACGUUACCAACAGAAUAAGCACCGGCUAACUUCGUGCCAGCCGCCGCCGUAACAC
rnacentral:rRNA from 1 species